CCCGCACCCCGGACCACAGUAGCAGAACUCGGCCGGGAGAAGAGGAAGGAGGGUGAGUUCCUAUGUUCCCCUUGUUCCGUCCCCAGAUCCACGAUGAGGCCGUGCCACCGUGUGGGUAGAGAGAAGUUCUACCAGUUCUUCUACUUGUUUUCUUUUUUCCUACCAAUCCCCUCGGCGACAAAAACAGUGUGAACGACGUUAACGUCAGUAACAAGCUCGAUAUUAUUCCUUCUCUUCUGGUGCAUAAUGUAUACAGUGUGCGUCGAUCGUGGCCGUUGGGUCCGUUGUGGGUUUACUCGAGGAGGAACUUAGACUAGGGGAGCAGAGAGUUUGGAGUCAGAGAGAUUAAUGAGACUUAGUGACGUUCGACGUGUAUAUUAAAGAAACUUAGUAGGGUUAAAGGAAGGGGAUCUAAAGUGAAUCCAGUGGCAGAUAAGUAGAGUAAUGGUUUAUACGAUCGUAUUUGUUAAGUGACUUAACAACAAAUGUCAAAUUUUUUACAUCAUAUCCAUCGAUACACGUUCCUGUCAGUUUUAACAUCACGGACCGUCUAAUAGUAUAUCAUUUAAGACCAUAUCGAAGAAAACAAACAUACUAACAUAGACGAGUGAAGUAGAACAUUGUUUAUUGUUCUCUCUCUUCCAUAUGACUAAUUACGGUUACUAGGACUUAAACUAGACAAAAAAACAAGAAAUCGAACCGGGCGGGUCGUUAAACAAACAUCGAGGCGGUGACGACUCUGGGGAUGCAAGGGUCGGUGCGGAACGGGUGAGCGCGACACACACGGAGCCUCUACCGGCCGUGCAGUACAACACUAUCCUACCAAAGGGUCGAAGUCAGCUGUAGGUUCAUGAUGUGACCUAUAGGGUUCCUAGAUCCCGGUAGUUCUUAGUAUGGCAAGUGUAGUCUCGCAGUCAAACACGUCGAUAAUGUACUUCCUGCCGGACAUCAACGCCGGAAAUGGUAAUUCACGUGAAUAUGUGUCGUAGAACUGUUUCAUGACCUCCUUCGACGACGAUGUAAAAUAGGAGUAUAUUGCAAACAAGCCCACCUUACGGGUUUCAUAGGACCCAAAACGGAGUGCUCCGUUUUCUGACUCAUAGGUAAAGAACUUCAUAAAAUGUUGGGUCUUGUCCGACGAUUGGGUCCAUUCUAGCACCUAGGCUCGUAGUGCUUUAUGAGGCGUUUUCAGGAUGGAAAGUUGAUACUGGUCUCGCACAUACCUAAAGCUCUCAUAAAAUUCUUCAUACCCAAGUUCAUAAGGCUUCGUUUGAUCCAAACAGUACCACCUCGGGACGUCUCAGUCGGUCAGGUUGAGGUUGACCAAACUUAAAUGAAAGUCGGACAUGAUUGUCACUAUGACGUAAGAAUUCUUAGUCGUGGGGGACGUAUGACCCGACCGAGACGGAACCGUUUACCAACCUUUUUACCGGUUCGACAAUCGAUCCAAAGGUCAUACGAGUUCUAACAUCAUCUUAAAGACCUACAACGUACAACAAGAAACAGUUUAGAGACUUGACGUAAUAGUCUGAGCGAUAAUUAUUUUAUAUAAGACGCCGAGUGAUAGAGUACGCGUCUUUAAGAGGAAUGAGGGAGGCACGCCUGCCUGAAUCAACUGUGAGUUUGUUGCCUACAUAGAUCUAGUUCUCAUCGUUUGAUACACGAAGAAUUAAUCGUAACGACUCCUCAAACGUUUGACACGUAAUUCUUGCUGCUUGCUUGAAACUUAGUCUUUUGGACCAUUUUAAUCCGACGUGAAAGAAUCACACAUUGACAUGGUUAGACAUAGGUUC
rnacentral:rRNA from 1 species